UCACUUACCUGGACGGGGUCAAUGGGCGAUCAAGAAGGUCCAUGGCCUAGGUUGGUGACCUCCAUUGCACUUUGGAGGGGUGCCCGCCUAAGGUCGGCCCAAGUGGUCGAGCCUACGUCAUAAUUUGUGGCAGUGGGGGCUUGCGUUCGCGCAGCCCCUGC
rnacentral:snRNA from 1 species